rnacentral:rRNA from 1 species
CUUUUAGAUCUUCCUGGAGGAGCUUGCUAUCUAACCGAUAACCCCCGAAAAACCUUACCAAUUUUUGAAAAAUCAACCUGUAUACCAUCGUCGUCAGUCUACCUUUUAAAAGAAGUUUUCAUAAAGAACAAUUUCCUCUUGACGUCAGAUCGAGGUGCAGUCCAUAAAUUGGCGAUAAGUGAGCUACAAUAAACUUCCACUUUUAAACACAAAUAUGAAUAAUUUUUUGAAAAAAAAAUUUAAAAUAGGAUUCAGCAGUAACACUUACUAGAUAAUAAGUGUGAACUACUUUUAGCUCUAAAAUGCGC